AACAACAACAAAACUAAGCUUUUCAUGCUUUUUUUUAUAAGCAAAACAUAUCCAUGCCUCUUCUCUCUAAGCAACAAGCUUUCAUUUUUAAUUUUUUACUUCAAAGUUAUUGUCUUGGAUCUCCUAUCUCAUCAUACAAAAAAUAAAACAGAGAAAGAAAUCUUACUUUCUAUUUAUUUUUAAUUAUAUUUAUCUUUUAUUUUUAAAGGUUCAAUUUAGGAUCAUGGCAUUGAAAUAAAGAACUAUUUGUUUUUUUCCCUU
rnacentral:lncRNA from 1 species